GUGCCACAGCCGCGGUAAUACGGAGGAUGCGAGCGUUAUCCGGAUUUAUUGGGUUUAAAGGGUGCGUAGGCUGAUAAGUAAGUCAGUGGUGAAAUUUUCCGGCUUAACCGGGAGGCUGCCGUUGAUACUGUUUAUCUUGAGUUUAGUUGAUGUGGGCGGAAUGUGUCAUGUAGCGGUGAAAUGCAUAGAGAUGACACAGAACACCGAUAGCGAAGGCAGCUCACAAAAUUAAAACUGACGCUGAGGCACGAAAGCGUGGGGAUCAACCAGGAUUAGAUACCCUGGUAGUCCACGCUGUAAACGAUGAUCACUAGCUGUAGGCGAUACACUGUCUGUGGCUAAGCGNAAAGCGAUAAGUGAUCCACCUGGGGAGUACGUCCGCAAGGAUGAAACUCAAAGGAAUUGACNGGGGGCCCGCACAAGCGGAGGAGCAUGUGGUUUAAUUCGAUGAUACGCGAGGAACCUUACCUGGGCUUGAACGUAUGGUGCAUUAUGGUGAAAGCCAUAUUUCUAGCAAUAGACUUCAUACGAGGUGCUGCAUGGCUGUCGUCAGCUCGUGCCGUGAGGUGUUAGGUUAAGUCCUGCAACGAGCGCAACCCCUGUUUUUAGUUGCCAGCACGUAAUGGUGGGGACUCUAAAGAGACUGCCUGCGCAAGCAGAGAGGAAGGUGGGGAUGACGUCAAGUCAGCACGGCCCUUACGUCCAGGGCUACACACGUGCUACAAUGGCCGGUACAGAGGGCAGCGACCUGGUGACAGGUAGCAAAUCUCCNAAAGCCGGUCUCAGUUCGGAUCGGAGUCUGCAACUCGACUCCGUGAAGCUGGAUUCGCUAGUAAUCGCAGAUCAGCAAUGCUGCGGUGAAUACGUUCCCGGGCCUUGUACACACCGCCCGUCAAGCCAUGGGAGUUAGGGGUGCCUGAAGUCGAUGACCGUAAAAGGAGUCGCCUAGGGUAAACCUGAUGACUGGGGCUAAGUCGUAACAAGGUAACC
rnacentral:rRNA from 1 species